GUUACAAGUGCACUGAACUACUGUACCUCUUGAGUACUGAGGAACCAGAUCCGGAAGGUCUCCUUUUCCUGCCACUAUAUGAGACAUAAAUUGCCGAAGGUUGAAAGUAUACGUUGCUUUAUAUCAACUCGAUUUUUAACCUUUACCUAAUGACCAACCUUUAAUUAGGCCAGAGACAUCAGUCUAUAUUCUAUGUCAAAUUCAUAUUUCUGGAAAUGAGGCAAUUUAAAAGCAGUUUACACUCUAGGAUGUGGGAAAAAAGCUGUCCAACCAUAUCGAGUGCAGGAGGCCAUCUUCAUUUUUAGGAGACUAUGAGACUACUGCGAUUACGGGGACCUGGAACCCGUCAUUUACAGUGGCAGACCGUCAAGGGAUGCAAGGUAUAGAGGGAACCUGGGGUCCAACUAAAUGCUUUCAAAGUUUUGGUAACAAGAACAAGAACAAGUACAAGAACAGCAGUGAGGCUCUGGGGUCAGCACCUUGCGCAGUUAUUAGUUUUUCAGUCUGUAGGCAUUUUGGUAUCUACAUUAGGAUAGGCCUAUCUUGUUGUACUCUAAGCUGCUUAGAAUUUCCACAUUGUUUUGCUAUUCUUCCAACAGAUACAUAUUAAACAUUUUAAGACUAAUGCACUAGUCAAUUAACUAUUUAUAUUUAGAAACAUAUUGGUUUUCUUUAAAUGCCAAACAUAGGUUUUUAAAUCAUUAUCAAAGAUACUGAUUGUAAGAAAGUAUAAUACAUACUCCAAGU